UACGUAGGUGGCAAGCGUUGUCCGGAUUUACUGGGCGUAAAGGGCGUGCAGGCGGUUUGUUAAGUGCAGGGUGAAAGCUCCCGGCUCAACUGGGAGAGGUCCUUGCAUACUGGCAAACUCGAGGGAGGCAGAGGAAAGUGGAAUUCCCGGUGUAGUGGUGAUAUGCGUAGAUAUCGGGAGGAACAUCAGUGGCGAAGGCGACUGCCUGGCCCAACACUGACGCUGAGGUGCGAAAGCGUGGGUAGCAAACAGG
rnacentral:rRNA from 1 species